AAAAAUCUGAAAAGAAGACAUUUGUUCAUCUGUGUCCCAAUAUGGGAGACCUUAUAACAACCUUCUAAGCUAAGCCAAUAUUAUUAUACCCCUACUGCAGAAUGGAUGGACGGGACUGAGGCUUACUAUUGGCUCCUAGGAAACUCAUGGCAAAGCUAAUGCUCAAAACAAUCAAAACUGAGCCAAAUUACUCAUUUCCAGUUAUCUCCAAGAGUACAUUGCAUUGUCUAUAGCCAAGUGCUACAAGACGAUUGCAUUUGUACCAGUUCUUUUGGGAAUUCACAACUCAAUAAUUUACAUGGCAUACUUAAAACUUCAGCUUAGUCCAGUCAUUAAUGGAGUGAAGAAACUGCUUGAUGAAGGUGUACCUUAGCAACUAAAGGACAACCUGGAGGAGAAAGUGACCCAGCUCUGCUUGCCACCCAAAACGGAACCAUUGCAGCUCAAGGCACAUGUUAUUUCAACAGGACAUCUUUCUGUGCCACACUGAAGGCAACAAAGCGCACAGGACAGGAAAGGAAUGCCUAGGGAGUCCAGGAGAAAAGUUGGAAGCUGCUCACUCCUUUCCAGCACACACCACCUGGAGCAGUUAUUCCACUCUGCCUAUUUGUUUACUAUGUGAUCUCAUCCGCCAGUCCUAGUAAGCAGUCUUGCAGCUCCAUUCGCUACCAACGGAAGUAUCUGGACCGUUUUCAAGGGUAGCCCCACAGAGAGUGCAUUACAACAGUCCAGUCAGGUAAUCACCCCAGCAUGGAUAACAGGAGGGACAGUCCUGCUACUGUCAUGGAGAGCUCCCGGGUAAAACUGGGCCAAUGUAUCCUUCAGGGUGGCC